rnacentral:lncRNA from 1 species
GAAACACAAGUUUUGCGGGCUGGUUUUUUUAAGUCGUAAAUCGAGUGCCGCCGAAUCGAAGUUAGGAAAUAGCGAGAAUUUUCACACACCAAGCGAAAUUCCGAUAUUACAGUGGCUGUUUUCGUAACGGAAAAUAGUCAAAAAGUCGCCCAUUUCCAGAAAAUCAAACUAGUGUAAAUCCAGUCACAAUCCCGCUAACUACCAGAACAUCAUGCAAUAUUACGUUUUUCCUCGCCACUCCAUACAUAAAAUGAACGAAUAAUUCGAUUAUUCCCCUCACUACUUCUAACCGCUGCUAUCUAGACGACGAUCUUUUCGGGCCUGUUCAAAGAAACAAGUUCAUUACGCGACCGGAUAUCGAACAGCUUGCCACCAGCAGCAGCUUCGAGCAGCUGCAAGAGAAGCUAGAAACCAUCUCUAAAACUACCGAAAGCACGCCAAGAAAACCUGCUGAACGCCGAGAGCAGCUGGAUAAAGCCUGCAAUACUGCGCCCUUAACGGCUGAGAGCAAAGAGGUGCAGGUGGCGCUGAAACGAACACUGUUGGAUCAUGCUGCAGCUGCCCAAAGAAAACAAGAAAAUUCAAGCCAACGGGGGUUGGACCAAGAAGAAUGUGGCUGUAGAAACUGAGCCACUUUCACUACAAUCAAGCAAGCCGCCAGAAAUCCAGAACCUUCCUCCUACAGAUAUUCCCUCUAGGCGAAAAUGUAGCAGCUGCAAAGCCGAAUUCUUGCCCCUAUUGGAGAUUCUCCCCAUCCCCCAAGUGUGCGAUAAAUGCAAAGU